rnacentral:rRNA from 1 species
CCAGACUCCUACGGGAGGCAGCAGUGGGGAAUAUUGCACAAUGGGGGAAACCCUGAUGCAGCAACGCCGCGUGAGUGAAGAAGUAUUUCGGUAUGUAAAGCUCUAUCAGCAGGGAAGAAGAUGACGGUACCUGAUUAAGAAGCCCCGGCUAACUACGUGCCAGCAGCCGCGGUAAUACGUAGGGGGCAAGCGUUAUCCGGAUUUACUGGGUGUAAAGGGAGCGCAGACGGCAGCGCAAGUCUGGAGUGAAAGCCCGGGGCCCAACCCCGGGACUGCAUUGGAAACUGUUGAACUGGAGUACAGGAGAGGUAAGCGGAAUUCCUAGUGUAGCGGUGAAAUGCGUAGAUAUUAGGAGGAACACCAGUGGCGAAGGCGGCUUACUGGACUGUAACUGACGUUGAGGCUCGAAAGCGUGGGGAGCAAACAGGAUUAGAUACCCGGGUA